rnacentral:piRNA from 1 species
UCUGUCAUUCAGGUUCUGGUCGAGAAGU